rfam:Brassica oleracea var. oleracea cultivar TO1000 chromosome C9, whole genome shotgun sequence
GCGGGGAUAGCUCAGUUGGGAGAGCGUCAGACUGAAGAUCUGAAGGUCGCGUGUUCGAUUUACGCUCACCGCA